AAAUCAUGAAGUGGGAAGUUCCUUAGUAAGCCUUUUGUAUCUCUCCCAUGCCUCAUAAAGUGAAUCUCCAACUUGUUGUUCAAAAUUGGCUAUGGCUUUCUUCAACUU